AAAGCUGUAGUCUAUGAUUAUUCCCAAACUUUUCAAAUUAUAGAAAAAUAAAUACGGCUUCUUAGGGCUUUAAUAACCAUUCCCAAAAUUUAAGGAAAUAAUUUCUCUCUUUCCAUUUUAUUUCAUGAUAAUUUCUUUCUUUUUUUAACUUCUAUGGAGGAUAAGGUAUUUGUUGAUAUUUUCUAAUUUUGAUCUUUUUUAUUUACAUUUUUAAUUUGUUUUAUUUUCUUUCUUUCCUUUGUAAAUUUUUCACACGGCUGCCUGCAUCAAUAGUAAAAAAAUUAAUUAAAUGAGAUUCAUGUCAUUUGAAUUUUUAAAUUGUAAAAACAACAAAUUCGAUCACUCCAUUCAAAUUUGAUAAUUGGAUUGGAAAAAGUCAAAAAAUACGAGUGAAGAGAUUCUUUUGACAAUUUUCACAUUGCACUCAACAAGACUUUUGGGUAAACGGGGAAGCCCACCUAAACAAGUUAUCAAAUUCUAACUCUCUUCACAAGUUAUAUGAUUCUAAGUCUUAUGCUUUGAUAGUUUGUGUAAAUUAAAUAUAAGUUUGCUACAUAUUCUCCUCUUAAUAUCACAUCAUGCUAUUUUCUUUUUCUUGUUUAUUAGAUAUUAUUACAACAACAGAUAAAAAAAACUCCCUAUUUAGUAAUUGGAGCCUCGGUGCCGCGACAUUGUAAUGCAGAGAUAUAAUUCGUGGUACAUGGUCAAGCAUCGCGACGCUGCCAUUGGGUGCCAUGGCACCCUCUGAACUUUGGAAGCGAAAGACACGCUCGUGAUAGUUGAGUGUUGUGGUGCUGCCCUUGAGUGUUGCGACGCCUGAACAUUCUUUUAAAUACUUUUGUUCUCUCUAUUUUUCUGUACUCUUUCAUGCAUUUUGAGUCAUCGAACAUCUCCCCAUCAUCUGAAAUGUGGAUGAAAAGGUACUCGUUUCUAACUUGGGUUUUGUUAGAUUCUUCCUUUGUCUUUUAGUUCAUGAGAACUUAAACUUAACUUGUAUGUAAUCUUUGGUUUCAUUUAGUUUUUGAAUGAACAUUGGUAUAUGCUGAACGCAUGCGAUGAAUCAUGUGUAACUAUAGCUUUGCAGUAAAUUCUUUAACCCGUGACAAGUAAAUAAGAAUUGGUAAAAGCAAUAGGUUAGUUUAGCCUGUAAAUCUAAGCUGAUAUACAUUGAUUCUAUCCAACUUAGAACCCAAUCUAUUGAAUGUCAAUUAGACUAUGAAAAAUUAGGCAUUCUACCUAAGCGAACUUAAUGCUAAUUGGAAAAUUUAGUAUUGCAUGCUAUUAGGUUAGAACAAUUGGAACCUUAGAACAACCUAAUUGGCAGCUUCAAUUGAAUUGGUUAGGUGAAGAUUACAUAUGAUUAAGUAAUGAUUGUUCGAUGAAUGAAUUAUUGGGAUAAGGAAAAAACCGCAACAAUCCAAGCUAGGUCCUUUUUCAUAUAAAAUUUUCUUGGUUUUCCAUCUUUGCAAUUUCAUUCUCUCACAACUAUACUCAAAAACCCCCUUAGGUUACCUUUAGUCUAGAAUUAAUUUGUUUGAGAAUCAGUGUGCUCCCUUUGAUCGACCUGAACUUGCCACCAAGACUAGUUCUUCGAGUAUGAUCCGUUAUAUUAUUUGACACAUUUGGAAAAACAUAUCUGUCUCGAUCACUAAGAGCUUGUUUGGAGGUGAUAUUUGAAAUAGUGAUUUUAGAGAAAAAGAUUUAGAUACAAUUGAUUUUGUACAAUUAAUUUUUAAAUAAUAAAAUUUAGAAAAUUUUUCAAAAACAACAAAAUAUUUACAACCUCUAAAAAAUUCUAUCAUUCAUAGUCAUUGAUAUGCUAUAGUGAUAGAAUCCAAAAUUUUGCUAUAAUUCGUAAAUAUUUUAAUUUAUUUUGCUAUUUUUAAAAAUGCUCCUAAAAUUUAUGUUGGAUAACAAACUCUUAAAAUUGAUUUUUAUAUAUUUAAAAUUUAUUUUCAAUAAUUUAUUUUUUAUACCAAAAGUGAUUUUAAAACUAUCAAAUUAUCAUGAAGGUAUUUUAUAUUUGAAAGUUUAUUUUGUUAAAAAAUAAUUAUAAAUAAUAUCUAAUUUUAUUCAUUUAUUUUUUAAUUUAUUAAAUUGUUAAAUUAGUAUAUGCAAUUGAUAUGUGAUGUAAAAAAAUGCACAUAUUUCAAAUAAAAGAAAACUCAAAACAUAUAUCUCAUUCAAUGUAGAAGCUUGUAUUGCUCCAAAAUACUUAAACUAUAUAUUAUUCUAUUUAAACGCAAACAAUAUAACAAAAAUAUUAACGAGAUAUAAGAAAUCUUGCAAUUUUCUCCCUCUCUCCUUCCACAACAAGGUACUUCAAUUUCUUCAUAAACACUCAACUCAUUUCUGUCAUCACUUGAGGGAGCAAUUCUUCGUCAUCAUCAAAAGGCUUAAUCUCAAAGUUAGUUGUAGAACGAUUUCUUAUAAAAUUACAAAGUGUACUCAUUGGUACAAUAACAAUCUUUACAUGUUUAUCAAAAGAAAAAAUAUGUAUAUGGUGUAACAUUUGCCAUCUACUUUUUCAAACAGCAAAUGCCCUCUCAAUCGUACAUCUUAAAAAUGAAUGCCUAUGAUUAAAUAUUUCUUUCUUACCUCUUGGUUGGUUCUCGAGUCGAAAGUUAGAAAGUCAGGGAGAUGAUAUUUUUCUCUUUUAUAAGGCCCUAGACAUCUUAUCAUUUGCGGAUAUCCAUAUACAAAAGGCCUUAGCUUUUAUAAAGAUUAUUAAACAAUGCAAAGUUUAAUAUGAAAACUUUAAAAGCAAACCUUUGGAUGGAUGGAGAAAAUCUAACUAAGGCCUUCCUAAAUCUUCCGUGAAGAAGAUACGUGCAUGAGUCAUGAGCAACACCUUCUCAAUUAGCCUAAAUAUAAACCCAUAUAAACCCCAUGAAUAAUCAAACAGAAAUUCAGCUGAAGAGGACAUUCAUUAUCCUUCCAAAAUGAAAAGAAAAAAAAUAUGUUCACAAAUUGAAAAAUCCCAAAUAAAUCUCCUCCAACAGAUAAUCAAAGAGCAAACUCCAGAGCACAAUACCCAUUAAUAUUUUCAUCUUCGAAAAUGAAAAUUGAAGUCUUCACCUAAAGAAGACUAGAGGUUAACACCUAAAAAACCAAGACACCAAAAAGUAUUAAUAUUAAACUCUUUUUUGCUUAGCCAUUCAAUUUUUGUCUCGGACUUCUUUAUAGCAACAAAAAUUACACUAUUUUCUCUUUUGCUAAAAACUUCAGUGAAGCUUCUACGAUCCAAGGCAAGCUUGUUAAAGUAUUCAUUACUUCAAGAAUUAAUAUUGCAACUUGGCAAAUCUCUUCUUCUGUACUCGAUAACAUCACACAGACGAUCUAACUUGACUGACAUCUUAGAAGACCCGACUCUUGAACCAAUUUUUUUCCUCCUUUUCUCUCUCCCUUGAGUACAAGUUUCACUUGCAUCAACAGCAUUAGCCGUACUUUCAACAUUUUCAUUCUCAUAAUUGACCUCCGUCUCCCCUACUGUAUCAUCUGUAAACCCUCCAACUCUAUCACACGUAGGAUUAAAUGAAAGACCUUGAGAUGGGGCCUAUGCACAUUGUCCAGUUACUGCAACAUCUUUAAAAAGAAUAUCCAACUAUUCUACGUUUUGUAACCCUUUUGCGCGAUAUUUCGCUACCUCUGGAACUGCCUAUAAAACAAUAAUAGUAUUUUCACACUAUUCAUUCUACCAUUAACUUGAAUUUAAAUUGAAAAUCAUAAUUUAUAGAAAAUGUCAAAGAUCACCUUUAGUUAUUCAUUUCACCACUCAUCAGGUGCAUCAAUAGUUUGUCUUCAAGGAUUGCAUCCUAAUCCUGUUGCAACUCCCACCAAUUUGUUCCAAAUUUGCCAUUUUUUCUUCAGUGAUGUCCAUUUGUUCUUCUACUGUCUAUAGUCAUAAUUUCUUCUACUCUUUUCAUUAAAGUUCUUUAUCAAACUUUUCCAGCCAAUUUUAUUGAAAUGAUGAUUAGGCCUGUUUCCAUUUAAAGUUUCGGCAAUGCACAUUUGUAUGAAUGUAUUAAAGAGUUGUAUCGUCCCAAAUAGCCUUUCCAUGCUUAUCUUUUUUAUCACUAAGAGUUGUAUCCUUAACAUUGUAAAAGGAAAAGGGAGCAAAUUCACACCAUCAAACAGUGCAAUCUAAAAGAAAUUGAAUGGUUUAUCUGGCCUGUGAAAUGACAUAGCACAAGUAAAAAGAAAAAGCAAAAAAUCACACCAUCGAACAGUAACAAAAUCAGUGAUAAAUGUGCCCAAGUUUCUAUAUCAUUAUUGUGUUAGACAACCAAUAAUUCAUCAAUACAGUAGAAGGGAAAAGACUAAAGGAAAUAAGUCGGUGAAGGAGACCGUAACUGAAGGGGGGACCAAGGGAUAGAAGGAAGUGAUAUAAAUAGAAAACUAAAAGGGAGGGAAAGUCAAUUAGUUUUAUGGUAGAAUCAUUUCUGUUGUAUCCUUAACAGAUAGGGUAACACAUUUGGAGAGAGUUUUGUUCCUUGAAUUGAAAGUAUUGUUCAAUUCUAUUUUUUUUUUCAUUGUUAUUCCUACAUUACUAUAAUCAAUAAAGAAUUGUAUCAUUUUCAUCGUGAAUCUGUAUGUUGGUCUGAUGAUGGUAAUGGGGAUCCAACAUUUUGGUAUCAGAGCAUCAUCCUAGAAAAGCAUAAGAAAAUGGCAAAAAGCAUGAAGAAUGAUUUGAAACUGUAGAACAAGAGAUUUCUGAGAAAAGAAUGUUGGUUUUACAACAAACGAUCUGUAAAAUCUCACGCACUCUUCUUGAAGAAAGCAAAGAUAAAUACUUUGUAAGAUAUAUUGCCAAGAGGGAGAGAAAAUUAAAUGGAACUUCUUACCUUUAUUCAAUUUGAUGGAUUAAUAUUUAUAGUCUAAAAAGAAGCAAAAAUUAGUAACCCACUAACAUAGUGCUUGCUAAAACUUUGGACAUAAUUAAAAAACAAAUAACCAAAAACAAUAAAUAGAAGAAUAACUUAAUUCUUCCACCUAUUUAGGAAGAUCAUGGCAAAUUAAUAGCCCACACUACCCCCCUAAUUCUGACAUGAUUCUAAGUUACGAACACCAAGUAGUUGACGCAUAGCAGCUAACUUUACUCCGGUCAAUGCUUUAGUCAGAACAUCGGCUCGUUGUUCUCCAGUGUUGACAAAUUCAACGAUAAUUUGUCCAUUCUCGACACACUCUCGAAUGAAAUGAAAACGUGUAUCUAUGUGCUUGUUGCGACCAUGAAAUACGGGAUUCUUCAUGAGAGCUAUCGCGGAUUUGUUGUCCACAAAUAAUGUUAUCGGCCUUGGCUCCAUUCUGACUAUCUCGCUAACAAGGCAUCUUAACCACAAUGCUUGGCAAGCUGCGGUAGUGGCUGCAAUGAACUCGGCUUCGCAAGAUGAGAGUGCCACCGUCUUUUGCUUUUGUGAAUUCCAUGAAACCAAGCUUUCGUUUAAGUAGAAUGUCAUUCCACUUGUGCUUUUCCUCCCGUCGAGAUCACCGGCUAAAUCACUGUCAGAGUAACCGAAUAUAUUGAAUUCUCUGGGACCUUUCGUAUAAGUGAGCCCAAAAUGAAUCGUCCCUCUCAAAUACCCGAGUAUUUGCUUGACCACCUUGUAAUGCAUGGUUGUAGGCCUUUCUAUAUACCUACUCGCCAUCCCAACAGCAUAUGAAAGAUCUGGCCUUGUGUUCAGUAAGUAUCUAAGACAACCAACGAUGCUUCUGUACUCCGUAGCAUCAAUUGGUGCUCCUUUCGUUUCUUUGUGAAGUUGUGCCUUGGGUUCCAUCGGGUACUUUGUGGCAUUGCAAUCAGCCAUUCCAAACUGGGACAAAAUUAUUUUGGCAUAAGUUGGUUGUUUGAGCAGGAUUCGACCUAUCUGUUGUUCAACUUCAAUUCCUAAGUAGUAAGAGAGAAGGCCUAAGUCGCUCAUUUCAAAUUUGGCCAUCAUUUGUUGCUUGAACUUAUUAACCUUUUCAGUGCUACUUCCUAUUACAAUGAGAUCGUCAACAUACACUCCAACAAGAACACAUUCCUCUUCUUCUCUUCUUGUGUAGACUGUUUGCUCUUGAGUGCAUUUUCUAAAACCAAGAUCUUUGAGACUCCUAUCAAGUCGAAUGUUCCAAGCUCGUGGAGCUUGCCUCAAUUCCAUAGAGAGCCUUUGACAAUCUAUACACCUUGUGUUUUUCAUUUGGAACCUCAAAACCCUCUGGUUGAGUAACAUAUACUUCCUCUUCCAAUUCUCCAUUGAGAAAUGCCGACUUCACAUCUAGAUGGUGUACCUCCCAACUUUGGUUUGCAGCGAGUGCAAGAAUGACUCGAAUGGUGUCAAGUCUUGCAACCGGUGUAAAAACUUCUUCAAAGUCAAUGCCUUGUCUUUGUACAUAGCCUUUAGCAACCAAUCUUGCUUUGUGCUUGACAACUUCUCCAUUAGGGUCUUUCUUCAAUUUGAACACCCAUUUUGAACCAAUGGGUUUGUGUCCUAGUGGAAGCUCGGUCAGACUUCAUGUGUUGUUUUUCUCAAUGGAUUUUAAUUCGUUCUCCAUUGCUUCGUACCAGCGACCCUCUGUAACAGCUUCUUGGUAACAAGUCGGUUCUUCGGACACUACCAUCAUCACCUCAUUCUCUUGUUCAUCACCACCUACAACUUCCUCUGUGUUGGCGUAGAUGUUAUUGAGAGAUCUUAGACGGACCGUAUGUUCGUCGAUGGAGGAGAUGGACUGGUCUCUCCAAUCGCAGGUAUCUCAGUUGCAUGUGGUAAGACAUUUUCAACCCCAGUUUCUGCAUCCUCCAAGUUUUCGAACUCGUCAGAAUAAAAUUGGUCCAUCACUUGAAAUUUUGUAAUCUCCUUACCGUCACUAACAACUUCGUUCCAAGCCUAUUCAAGAUUCUCUUGAAAAAGAACAUCUCUUCUAAUUUGUAGUUUUCGACGGCCUAGUUCAUAUAAGCGAUGGGCUUUGCAUCCUUCUUCAACACCAAAAUAUACCAUUGGUGAGCUUCGAUCGUCGAGUUUCUUGAGGUGAGGGGUUGUGUUCUUUACAUAUGUCAUACAACCAAAGACUCUCAAGUGUGCAAGAUUUGGCUUUCUCCCCAUCCAAGCUUCAAAUGGUGUGCGUUCUCCAAGGGCCUUCGUUGGAAGACGGUUUAACAAAUAAAUCGCGGGUCUCACUGUCUCUCCCUAAAAUUUUGCAGGCACAUGCAUGCUUUUGAGGAGUGAUCUCGUCAUCGCCAUUACGAUGCGGUUACGACGCUCUACAAUGCCAUUUUGUUUUGGUGAAUAUGGAGCGGUGAUGUGUCGUUCGAUUCCUUCUUUUUUUGCAAAAUUGAGUGAACUCUGCAGAUAAGAACUCACCACCUCGAUCCAUCCGGAGCGUUCUGAUCUUAUACUCCGUCUUGUUCUCCAUUAAGAGUUUGAAUUUCUUGAAUGCUUCAAAUGCGUCACUUUUUUGCCUCCAACAUAUACAGUCACAUCCAUCUCGUGGAAUCGUCAACGAUCAACAAAAAAUACUUGUGUCCAGCAAGAGUACAUGGUGAAAUCGGUCUGCAUAUAUCAGCAUGGAGGAGUUCUAAUGGCUUAUCUGCUCUAUAUGUUGAUUGACGGGGGAAGGGCAAUCUGGCUUGUUUCAUAAUCACGCACGCUUCACAUAACUUGUUCGGUUGAGUAACUAGUGGUACUCCAACUACCAAUUUCUUCUCCCCCAUGAGCUUCAAGUCAUGAAAAUUUACAUGCCCAAGUCUCACAUGUCGUAACCAUGUUGGAUCUUCUAGGCUUGUUAGAAGGCAGACUUGCUUGAGUGUCUUCAAAGUUAUCUUGUACAAACGAUUUUCAGUUCGCUUCACCGACAUCAAAAGCUUUCCACUCCUAUCAGACACUUUCAUGAUAUCUUCUAUCAUUUGCACCUUGUUUCCGUUUUCUGUCAUUUGUCCGAGGCUUAUGAUGUUACUACAUAAUUUUGGAAUGUAAUACACCUCUUGGAGAGCCUUCUGAUCACCGUUUUUGCACUCGAACAUGACUAUUCCUUUUCCCAUGAUCUGAAUGGUUGAUCCAUCGCCAAACUUCACCCUCCCAGUGAAGCUUUCAUCUAAUUCUUGAAACUUCUCACGAUGGCCAGUCAUGUGGUUACUAGUACCGUUGUCUAGAUACCAAACAUCAUUAUUUUCUCCAUUCUUGUCGUUGCAAUACAUCUCUAGCAACAACCGCUCUUUGCUGAGUAGUAUGGCAUCCUCCUAAUCACAUCUAGUGCGUGUCCCCUCCUGGGACAUGGCCAUUAUCAAAGUCGGUUCUUCUUCAGCGACACAAGUUAGAUGAGCUUUCUCGUCACGACCUUUUCCAUGACAUUCCGACGCGUAAUGUCCCAUCUUGUUGCAAGUGAAACACUUAAUGUGACUUUUAUCACGAGUGUCAUUUCCAGUGUUGCUAGUGCUUCCCGCACUAUAUUGACGCUCAGUGCCACGACCACGUCCUCGCCAUCUUUCUCGAUCGGUACCACCAAAUCUGCGCCCUUUGUUCAUCGAGGAGUUGUCACCACUAUGUCAUUUUUGUCUAGCUUUCCAUUCAGCAUGCGUAAGUAGGAGUUGUCCAUCGGUGUUGUUAUUGUAUUCUCGAAGUCGUGUUGUUCGUUCCUCUUACGCCUUCAUCCAUCCAAUUGCUUCUUCAAACGACAUGGUUUCGAGAUCUUGAAAUUGCUCAAUUCCGACGACAAUGGGAAGAUAUUUGUCGGGGACGGAAUCGAGGAGCUUCUUGACUAAUGAUGAAUCCUCAAGUGCAACUCCGAGGGUGGUGAACUUGCUUCCUAAACCACUGAUUUUUCCUACAAACUCAUCGAUCGUCUCGGUUUCCUUCAUCUGAAGAACAUUAAACUCACUCUUCAAGGUUUGAACUCUCGCCAUCUUCACCCGCUCACUGCCCAAGUACCUUGUCUUGAGACUAUCCCAUAUUUCCUUUGCGGUCUUCUUCUUAGCGACUUGUAGAAGCACAUCUUCCAGGAUGCAUUGGAGAAUGUAUGCACACGCCUUCUUGUCUUUCUUCACAUCCACUUUGGCUCCUCUCGCUGGCUCUAUUGCUUCCCAAACUUUUUGGGCAUCGAGGAUUGCUUCUGCCUUUAUCGUCCACACUGACUAGUUGUGUGGAGUUAACAUUGGGUAGAGAAUCGGCAUUCCACCAUUCUCCUUUGUUUGCUGCGAGAUGCUUGCCAUCUUCGUUGGAAUAUGCGAUGAGAAGACAACCUGCUCUGAUACCAAAUGUUGGUUUUACAAUAAAGGAUCUGUAAAAUCUCACACACUCUUCUUGAAGAAAGAAAAGAUAAAUACUUUGUAAGAUAUAUUGCCAAGAGGGAGAGAAAAUUAAAUGGAACUUCUUACCUUUAUUCAAUUUGAUGGCCUAAUAUUUAUAGUAUAAAAAGAAGCAAAAAUUAGUAACCCACUAACUUAGUCCUUGUUAAAACUUUGGACAUAAUUAAAAAACAAAUAACCAAAAACAAUAAAUAGAAAAAUAAGUUAAUUCUUCCACCUAUUUAGGAAGAUCAUGGCAAAUUAAUAGCCCACAAAGAAUCGAUAUGCAGAAAAUACCCGCAAUGGAAGAAAAACUAUUGCCAUUAGUGAAGAACAUGGAACGAUUGAUGAAGAAUUUAGAUCGAUUGAAUACUCAAGCGGAUAAACAACAACAACAACAUCAAGUGUUGAUGAAGUAUAUUGAAAGUUUGAUCAACGAGAAGUCAGUGACAUCAUCCAAUAUGGACGAAGGAUCUUCCAAUAAGUUGAAAGUGAAUGAAAAUAAGAAGGAAGAAAGUGAAGCAACAGUUCUCGAAUUGAUUGACGAAGCGAAAGCGUAUAAGAAAGAAGAAAGAAGAAGACAACUAAUCGAAGUAAAAAUUAAAAAAAGUAGAGAUGUCGGUGUUUAGUGGAAAUGAUUCCAAUUCAUGGCUUUUUGAAGUGGAUCGGUAUUUUCAAAUCCAUGAACUCACUAAUCCCAAGAAGAUGAUAGUAUAUGUAAUAAGUUUUGAUGGACUAGCACUCGACUGGUAUCGUUCACAGGAAGAGCGUGAGAAAUUCAAAGAUUGGGCAGAUUUGAAGCUUUGAUUAUUAUAAAGAUUCCACUCCAUCAUGGAAGGCUCAAUUUAUGGUCGAUUUUUUGCAAUUAAACAAACUUCGACCGUAGAGGAACAUUGAAAUUUUUUUGAUCGAUUGCUGGCACCUUUAACGAAUUUUUCUAAUAGAGUACUAGAAGAAACCUUCAUGAAGAUUUGGUUUCAUGGAUCAAGUCGGAGGUGGAAUUCUUAGAACCUACUUGCUCACAUAGAUGAUAAGGCUAGCCCAAAGAGCGAAAAACUGGGAGAUGGUAUGAAGGGAAGCAAAUCUGAGCAGAUAUUUAGGAGGUAAAUAGCCUUUUAUCCUUCAAAUUCUACCAAACCUAGUUCCUUUGUGAAUGCGAAUGAAAAUAAGGCUGGAACUAUCUUUCCGAAGAGGACUAUAACAUUAAGAGGGGUAGCAUCAGGGAAAAAUAGGAAAGAAUUCCAGACAAAGGAGCUUUCCGAUGAAGAAUUCUAGACAAAAAGAGAGAAGGGGUUAUGCUUUAAGUAUGAUGAGAAAUCUUAUUCAGGGCAUACGUUGUGAGGGGAGAGAGCAAAGAGAAUUAAGAAUAUUUUUUGUGAGGGAAAAUAAUGUAGAAGAAGAAAUCAUAAAGGAAGAUUGUUAUGAACAGAAGGAGUUAAACACACAAUUGAGAUGGAAGAGGAAGUUAAGUCAGUAGUAGAAUUAUCUAUCAAUUAUGUGGUUGGGUUAUCUAAUCCAGGCACGGUGAAGAUUAGAGGGAAGAUUCAUGGGAAAGAAGUGACUGUGAGCUAUGCACAAUUUUAUAUCAGACAAGUUAGUGCCAAAUUUGAAAUUACAUAUGAAGGAGACCUCCAAUUAUGGGGUAAUCCUAGGAUCUCAAAUAGUUAUCAAAGGGAAAAAGUCCGAAAAUGUAGAAGUGAUGUUAAAUGAAUGGAGAGAAGUGGAAAGAUUUCUACCUCUAGAGUUAUGGGGAGUUGGCAUAAUACUUGGGAUGCAAUGCUCUACUCUCUAGGAGUCACUAAAAUGGAUGGAGGAAUUUUACCAUGAUGUUUUCCAUCAGAAUAACAAGGUGAUCAUAAAAAGGGAUACAAGUCUGACGAAGACUCGAUUCAAUUUAAAAAGUUUGAUGAAGGCAUUGAUAGAUUCUGACUAGGGCUAUCUGGUUGAAUGUAUAGCCUUGGAGGAAAGAAUAUCAAGUGCAAAACUACAAAGGGAAGGUGAAUUAAGCAUAUGCAAUCUAAGAGAUUAUUGUUCCAACAGUGUUGACCAAGUUCGACGAUGUAUUUAACUGGUCUGAGGAAUUACCUCUGAGGAAUUACCUCGAAGAAGAGAAAUUGAGCAUCAUAUACACUUAAAGAGGGGAACAAAUCCAGUGAAUGUAAGACCAUACAGAUAUGCCUUCCAAAAGAAGGAGGAGAUGCAAAAGCUGGUAGAUGAAAUGCUAUCAUUUGGGGUUAUCCGUCCAAGCAUAAGCCUCUAUUCAAGUCUAGUUUUGCUAGUGAAGAAAAAAGAUGGCAGCUGGAGAUUUUGUGUUGACUACAGAGCCCUCAAUAAUGUGACCAUUUCAGAUAAGUUUCCCAUUCUUGUUAAUGAAGAACUUUUUGAUGAACUGAAUGGUGCAACAUUGUUUUCUAAAAUAGAUUUAAAAGCCAGUUAUCUUCAAAUUAGGAUGUGUAGUGAAGAUAUAGAGAAAACAACUUUUAGAACACAUGAAGGGCAAUAUAAGUUUUUAGUCAUGCCUUUCGGUUUAACUAUUGCUCCUGCAAAUUUUCAAUCUCUUAUGAAAACCAUUUUUUGAUCUUACUUGAGAAAGUUUGUCUUAGUUUUCUUUGAUGAUAUCCUAAUAUAUAGUAAAGGGAUAGAAGAACAUUUACAACAUAUAGAGAUGGUGCUAGAAGUAUUAAAGGAACACAAACUCUGUGCCAAUAAAAAGAAGUGCAAUUUUGCUUACUUAAAGGUAGAAUAUUUAGGCCAUAUUAUAUCUGAAAGAGGAGUAGAGGUGGAUCUAGAGAAGAUUAGAUCAAUAAAGUAAUGACUAAUUCCAUCCAAUGUUUGAGAGGUCAGAGGUUUUCUCGGAUUGACAAAAUAUUUCAUGCACAUUGGUCAACACUAUGGAUCAGUUGCAGUCCCUUUAACUUAAUUAUUGAAACUUGGAGCAUUUAAGUGGACAAAUGAAACUCAUGAAGCAUUCGAGAAGUUGCAAGAUGCGAUGAUGACCUUGUCAGUUUUAGCUUUACCUGAUUUUAAUGUGCCAUUUGAGGUUGAAACUGAUGCAUCAGGGUACGGAGUGGAGGUAGUGCUGAUGCAGAACAAAAGGCCAAUAGCAUUCUACAGUUACACCUUGGCUAUGAGGAAUCCUGCCAAACUAGUGUAUAAAAUGAAAUUGCUAGCAGUUGUUUGGUUGUACAACGUUGGAGGCCAUAUCUAUUUGGGAGGAAAUUAUUAGUGAAGACGGAUCAACGAUCUCUUAAGUUUUUAUGAGAACAGAGGGCAAUCCAGCCACAAUACCAAAAGUGUAUAGCGAAAUUACUUGGCUACUCCUUUGAGGUUGUGUAUAAACCUGGAUUAAAAAACAAGGUUGUUAAUGCCCUGUCUCGGAUGCCACCAUCAGUGCAUCUUAAUCAAUUAACAACUCCAUUUAAGGAUCAUUAAAGAGCAGGUAGAGAAGGAUGAGCAUUUGAAAGAGAUAAUUUCGAAGCUUUAAGGAGAAGAAGGGAAUAAUUACUCUUUGAAACAUGGUAUGUUACAGUACAGAGGGAGGUUGGUGAUUGCGAAAUCCUCUUCAUUAAUACCAACUAUAUUGCAUACGUACCAUGAUUCCAUUUUUGGAGGACAUUCGAGAUUUUUAAGGACUUUAAGAGGUUGAUAGGGGAGCUAUUUUGGAAGGGUAUGAAGCAUGAUAUUCAGAAGUAGUGUGAAGAGUGUAUGGUUUUCCAGAGAAAUAAAUCUUUGGCCUUAACAUCUGUUGGUUAAUUACUUCCAUUGUAAAUAUUGAAUAGAGUAUGAAGUGAUAUUUCCAUGGAUUUUAUUGAAGGCUUGUGGAAGGCAACAAGGUAUAAAGUAAUACUUGUGGUAGUGGAGCAUUUCAGCAAAUACGCUUAUUUUUUUACUCUCAAACCCCCUUAUGAUGCCAAAACAGUGGCAGGAUUUUUUGUGAAAGAAGUGGUAAGGCUACACGGAAUUCCUCAAUUCAUUGUUUUAGACAGAGACAAGAUCUUUCUUAGCCACUUUUGGAAAGAGUUGUUUCAAUUGGCAGGAACAAAUUUUAAUAGAAGUACAACGUAUCAUCCACAGACAAAUGGACAGACUAAGGUGGUGAACAGAGUAAUGGAAAUUUACUUACGUUGCUUUUAUGGAGAAAACUCAAAGGAAUGGAAAAGAUGGAUUCAUUAGGCUGAGUAUUGGUACAAUACUACGUACCUAAGAUCAUUGGGAGUGUCAUCGUUUUAGGCUGUAUAUGGGAGACCAUCACCACCGCUCAUUUACUAUGGAGACAAAGAGACUCUGAAUUCCAUCCUUGAUGAGCAAUUGAAAGAAAGGGAUAUUGUCUUGGGAGCACUGAAAGAUCAUUUACGUGUAGCGCAAGAGAAGAUAAAGAGUUAUACUGACAUUAAGCAGAGACAAGUAGAUAUUGAAGGAAUAGAUGUGGUGUUUUUGAAAAUUCCACCCUAUAGACAAGUAUCAAUAAGAAAGAGGAGAAAUAAGAAGUUGUCUCCUAAAUAUUUUGAUCCAUAUCAAAUUGUUGAAAGGAUUGGAGCUGGAGUUACAUGCUUUAACCAUCAUUCAUCCUAUCUUUCACGUAUCUCAACCAAAAAGAGCUUUUUGAAUGAGAAUGCAAUGUAGGACCACCAAUAAUUCAUCAAUACAAUAGAAGAGAAAAGAAUAAAGGAAAUAAGUUGGUAAAGGAGAGUGUAACUGACCACGAGGUAGAGGGAAGUGAUAUAAAUAGAAAAAUAAAGGGAGGAAAAGUCAGUUAGUUUUCUGGUAGAAUCAUUUUUGUUAUAUCCUUGAGAGAUAGGGUAACAGAUUUGGGGAGAGUCUUGUUCCUCUAAUUGAAAGUAUUAUUCAAUUCUAUUUUCCUUUCCGUGUAAUUCCUACAUUACUAUCAUCAAUAAAGAAUUGUAUCAUCUUCAUUGUGAAUAUGUGUUAGAGACUGGGAUCCAACAUAUUAGUUACUUACAUUACACUUAUUUGAGAUUCUAUAUCCCCAGACAUAGUUUAAACUCGACGUUUUCUUCUUUAAGGUAAAAUUUUGAGAUUAUGAUGCUUUUAUGAUUACAAAUAAAAGAAAUAGUAUCUUCAAAAACUGCAUAGGUAAGGCAAAUAAGACCGUUAGAACAAAAACACUAAAAGAUUAAUCUGACAAAAAAAAAAAAUUGGUGUUAAAAUGCCUAAGCACCUAUACUAAAUAUAAGAAAUAGAAGUCAAAAUAUUUAUUAGCAGCAGCAAAAUAAGAUUUGUAGUCCAAAUCAAAUCAAAUAAUCACAUUAUUCUAUUCUUUCAUCCACUAAAUUGAGUUCAAUGAUUCUUCCCCAAUCCCUUCUUCCAUAAGAAUAAAAACAAAGGUAAUUAAAUGCUAAUUCUAUCCAAAUUAAAUUAUUAAUCUUCGAAAUCUCUACAAAAACAAACAAUUUUUGUUUAUAGAGAAGUUGUCAUUAAUUUUCAUCAUAGACUCAGGUUUCCAGAUAUCAUAGUUUGGAUUGUUGUUCUUUUCGAUCAACGAAGGAUAAGAAAUACGAUAGUUUGGAACUCUAUAAUUCUUCUUCCAUAAGUAGAAACAGAGGUGAUUGUUUAAGGAAGGAUAAAAAGUAGAAAAGAAAGGAAAUAGAACUCACCAAUCGUCAACAAUCACAUCAAAUAGGAAAAUUGACAAAACUCGCCUAUUUUUUUUUUGUUUUGUAUUUUAAAGUAGUACAGUUUUAGAAAACUCAUAAUUUUGUUUUCUCAAAGUCAAUCUCGGUCGAGAUCGACUCCAACAUUCGUCCCAAAUUUUUAAAGAACCUUUUGAAAGAUUUAUCUCGGUCUCUCUUAUCGAGUGCAUCAAUGAGAUUAAACUUUAACUUAAAAUAAUUGGUCGAAAAAUGACUAACCUCCCAUCAAAAAAUCAGUUGGUGGAGUGAGUGAUGGAGGAACUUCCAUGUUGGUCCUCUUCUUUAAUUUAUGGCUAAGAUAUUUUCCUAAAAGUGACUAGAAAGUGUCUUGGUCUUAUUUUUAGUUUCCAUUUUAGCUUUUAUUUUUAAACUCGGAUACAUCUUAGGGCAACCUCAACCAGAGAUCAUAUUACAUAAUGCUUCUGUUCUUUAGCUUGGAGCCAUCUCGUGGCAACUUUGGCUCAAAAUUAUCUCAACUUUACAGCUAAAAUUGAAUUAACGACCAUUUGUAAUGCAUUUCAACUACCUCCGUCUUAAUUGUUUUAAACUAAUUGAAUGGCUUAUUAUAUAUCUCGUAUCUAAUUAAGCUAAAAUAAACUGUCUUUGGUUUACUUUUCUAUAAUAAUAAAUUACAAAGCAAAUAUGGUCAAAUAGACAAGCAUUAAGUCAACUAAAAAUGCAAAGCAUUAGUAAUAAGCUAAUAUAAUUUUCUUUUUGCACAACAUUAGAGUGCAUUUUUCGUUAAAAAAUUUGAAAUGGAGGUUAACUCUUCUCGAGCCAAAUUUUUCACGAGAGUCCUUGUUGGGAUUUAUAUGUUCUAAAAAACAUAACCAUUAGGUAGCAUGAUCUUGGACUAAGGUUGCUUGAGAUGCACUGAGCUGAAAAAACAUAAGCAUUAUGUAGUAUGAUCUCGAGCUAAGGUUUCCUCGAGAUACACCAAACUGAAAAUUUUAAGCAAUUAAGUCAAUAAUCUCGGGUCAUCGUGCCCCAAGAUGACCCUAAGCUAAAAAACAUAAGCAUUAUGUAUUAUGAUCUCCGAGUAAGGUUGCCCGAGAUAUCCUCGAGUUUAAAAAUAGAACCAAUUAUGUCAUUCAUCCUGUGUCAAAGUUGCCUCACGAUGGUCUGAAGCUAAAAAAUAGAAGCAUUAUGUAAUAUGAUCUAGGACUAAGGUUGUCUCGAGAGGUCCCCGAGUUUAAAAACAAAAGCUAAAAUGGAAACUAAAAACUAAGACCUAGACACUUUUUAAUCAUUUUUAGGAAAAUAUCUUAGCCAUAAAUUAAAGACAAAGACCAACAUGGAAGUUUCUCCAUCACUGAACAUGGAAGUUUCAACAUCACUGAAUCCACCAACUCAUUAUCUAUUGGAGGUUAGUCAUUUUUAGGUCAUUUAAUUUAAAUUAAAGUUCAAUCUCGGUGAUUCAUGCUUGUGUUUAUUGGUUCACGAAACUCUCAUCCAAAGUUGUGUUGGCUGUGAAUGUGACUAUUUUGAAAUUGGAAUUGUGUUUUAUGGGACUUGCUUUGAACUAAGUUGUGUUGUAUCUAAGAACAAUAUUCUAAAAAUAUAUCCUAUAAUCAAGGCACACAGACUUAUUUGUUAGUUUUCAUUCUUGUGGUGUGAUGACAUGUCCAUUGAAUACGGAUCAUUGCAUGCAAAUUUCUUUCUAGUAUUCUCUUUCUCAUGCUAGUGGACAUGAUCUUUGCAUGCAAAAUGCUCCCAAUGUCCCCACCACUUAUUUUCAAGUCUACAUUAUGCAAGUUUUCGUAUUGUUUGUCUAAGUGUAAGAGAAAAAUAAUAGGUUUUUCUAGAUGAACCAGGGUCAAACAUAGGGAAUUGAUAUCAAAGUUUAGUUAUAGGGUUUACUCAUUAACUUGGUGUUAUCACAAGUAAGUUCAAAGAAUAUAAAAAGAAUCAUAACUACCUAUUUACACCUAGAGACUCAUGCACAUAAGAAUAAAUUAUAGCAAGAUGGAGAGGGUGAACAAAUUAACUUGUGUUAAAAAAGAGGGUGAAGAAAGUUAUAAGGUUAUUAGGCGAAUAAGUUAUACAACCACUUCAAUGUGAUAUAACUCGCUAGACUAGUUUAUGAUUAAGGCAUACUCCUCUCAGAGUCAUUGAACGUCACACUUGGUCUCCUUUCAUAAUUUGAAUGACUAAGCCUAGUUAACACUACAAGAAAUCGGUAGUUUCUCGAUGCAGGAAAAAUCGUCAGGAAACAUGACGUUGGUAGAAGAUGGUGUUUUCUGACACAUCUUAGUGCACUCGGGGAAGGUAUUUCCCCUUACGCAGGAAAAUGAGUGCCGGAACUGGUCGAAAUAGGGGGUGUCUCUCGAUGUUUUUGAUGUGCGUUGGGAGUUCUCUUAUUAAAACCCACUUUAGCUAUGUAAUUCACAGAACUGAAAAGGAGAAGGCCGAGAGAGUUGAGAGAGAGACCGAGAAGGAGAGAGAUUCACGCCAUCGCUUGUCGUCGUCCUUAUCUGAUCGUUCAUUCCGGUAAGUGGUUUAGUCUAGUUAUUAUUUUGUUUUAGUUAAUUAGUUUUAGUAUUUAGAUUUCAAAUUAGUUUUAGGUUUUAGAAUUUACAUUUGGAAUUAGUUGUAGGUUUUAGUAUUGAUGUUGAAUUUGAAGUGUUGUUAGGAUUUUGAAUUAGUUGUAGGUUUUAGGAAUUUGAAUUUGAAGUGUUGAAGUUGAGAUUGAAAUGUUGAAUGUUGAGAUUGAAGUAUUGAAGUUGAGUUUGAAUUUCAAAUUUUCAAUUUGAAUUUAAGAAUUAAUGGAAGGUGUUUUUUUUUAAAAAAAAAAAUAGAGGAACUUCCAACAAGUGCGUCGGGAGUUCCUAGACAUCUUCUGAUGCUAUAUUGACAGCAUCUUCGACGUUCAUACAACAUCAAGAGAUGUCUAAAAACUCCCGACGGUUGUGCGUCGGGAGUUCCUCUUCUGACACAUUUUUCUUGACUUGUGUCCUGACGUAUAUUUAUGCAUCGAAAAAGCCUUUUUCGACGCUUUUCAUAUAUCUCCUAAAGAUUUUGUGCGUCGGGAGAGCCCCCCUUUCUUGUAGUGUAAGAAAGGUAUAUUUAGAAAUAUUUACUUAUAUUACUUAUAGAGCUUCGCCUUUAAGUACAACAACCUCACGGUGCCUAUUUUCCACACUUAUUCACCUUUCAGGAUACAAAUGAUGGAAGUAUCUCGUUAAGGUCGAGAAAACUCUUCCUAGCACAUUUUAGCUACGUCCUUGCUACUUACUCUUUCGGACUAUUGGCGACAUACACUAGCCAAGUGAUGAAUGUAGCUCGGCUAACGUGAGAAAUAUUAUAAAAAAACUUCUUAUCAAGUUUGAAUCAUAAAACUAAACUACAAAUGACACAAAGAUAAAUAAAUAGUAAAGAGAUGGAUGGAUUGAAAGAUGUAUAAAUAUACAUUGUAUUAAAGAAUAAGAGGUCUUUGUCCACUGUACAAUCUGAACACAUACUGUGUAAAGAAAAAGAAAAAUGGAUAGAAAAGAAAAGAUAAUACAAGUUAGGGAGAGAUGUGAAUGGGGGUCUUCUUCACUCUGACUACAAACUUGCACUCCAGAGACUAACUAGAGAAAAUGAAGAAGUGCUUCAUAGAUGGUGGUAAGGCUAAUCCUUGCCACCAACUCUCUAGGUUUUGGUCCAUUAAGACCUUUAUGACCUAUACAUGCCUCUUUCUCUCGGUGAUAAUGGAGCUUCUUAUAUAGACAUUUUUCGGCGAGAAAUCUAUCAUUUUAAUCAUGUCAGCUCUAAAAGUUGUCCUUGUCAUCAAGUCACAUCACUCCAACUACCACUUUUGUCUUUUAGCAAAACUCUUAUUGCUUGGUGAUUUGGUCUUCCCGCCUUGCCUUAGUGCGAGUUCCUAUGCAAUUUGCUAGCUUAUUCUUUUGUCAAUUAUCAUGCGUUUAGACAUUAAAAAUAGAGUAAAGCAAGCAUGAAGCUUAUGUAAAUAUAUUUUUAAAUAAGUAUGUAUUUACAACAUAAUCUACACAUUUUGACAUACUUUACCAUGUGUUUUGGUCCCAUUAUUCUACCUAAAAGGUCAUAAUAACUUAUAUUUAUACAAGUUAUUAGUGCACUCGGCCGAGAUAGACCAAUAUAAAUAUUUCAAAGGAUUUUUAAAUUUUUAAAGAAUCUAGGGGUCGAUCUCAGUCGAGAUUGAUCCUGAAGAAAACAAAGUUACGAGUUUUCUAAAAUUGUGCUACUUUUAAAGCUAAAACCAAAAAGGUGCUAGUUUUGUCAAUUUUCCCAUAAGAGAGGAUGGAGAUAAGGAAUGAAAAAAUGGCAAAACUAGCACAAUUUUAGUUUUUUUUUUAAAAUGUAGCUCAUAUUUUUUUUAAAACUGGUAAAAUUAUUUUUGUUGGUCCACCUUAGGCAAGAUCGACCACCAAGCCUUUCCUAAAAUAUUAAUAUUUUCAACUUAUCGAUCUAAAAUAUUAAUAUUUUCAACUUAUCAAUCGUUUUGGAUUUUUUCGGUGCAUCUUAAUAGACAAUUAGACGAUUCUACCAUUUUUCAAAUCUUUCCAAAUCUUACUUAAUUUUUUAUCUUUUCAGAAAAAAUAUUGAAAUCUUCCUAAAUCUUCUAACAUUAUCUUUGAUAACUGAAAUCUUUAUAAUAGGUUCACCAACAUAAUCUAUUCAUUCACACUUCAACUUCUUGUAAAACCCAAAUUCACAUCUCCAUUUCUCAAUUCAAUUCAAAUUUGAAUCCUUUUUUAAGAAACAACCAAAAGCUAUCAAAUUUUGGAUCCCAAUCCGAAAAUCAAUGCAACAUGGAAACCUAUUAGAAUCCCACCCAUUAGAAGUCAAUCUCAAUCCUCCCAAAGCACAUAAUAUUAUAGUGAGACAGUCAAAAUUAUCAUUUUUUAGGCUUUCUUGGUACAAUUUUGCUCCAAGUGAAUUGAGAUUAUUAAGUUUUUAAGCUUUCUCGAUAUAAUUUUGUCUGAGAUGAAUAGAGAUCCAUAAUUUUUUUUAAAGUAAAGAUUUGAAUAAUUUUUUUAAAAGAUAAAAAAAUUAAAUAAGAUUUAGAAAGAUUUGAAAAAUGGUAGAAUCUCGAUCAAAUUUCUAUUGAAAUGCACUCGGAAAACCCAAAACAAUUGAUAAGUUGAAAAAUUUUAUUAUUGUAGAGAAAUCUUGGUGAUUGAUCUCGUCCAAUAUAGACAAAAAAAAAUAUAGUUUUACAAGUUUUAAAAAAUGUGUUACUUUUGAAAACGAAAACCAAAAGUGUGUUGUUUUUGUCAUUUUUCCAAGUAGACCAAUGGGUAUUUUCAGUAUUUAAAAAAUUAUAUAAAAUAAUAAUUCUAAUUCACGACUAAUCAUUCCCUCGAAUCAUUAGGCAAUUGAUUCUUCUAACAAUCAAUUUUGAGAGAUUUUGUAUUUUUCUAAAAUCACUUUUUAUUAAAUUGACACACUAAUUUUGUGCAAAAGUGAUUUUGGCUGGUGAAAAAAUGGUUUUAGCUAUGUCAAAAUCACUACUAAACACACCCAGUCCUUUGGAUAAAGCGAAAACCAAUAAACACUUUUUUGUAUACUCCUCCUUUGAUGAGAACUUUCAAUCUCUAUUCGAACAACGACGCUUUAAGAUCUCAAUCGACUGCCAAAAUAAACUUCACUCUCUCUAGAUUUUUAAGGCAGAAAUUAAUUCUUUUAGGUUUGAAAAUUAGGGUAAACGUCAUGCCACGAGUGUUGAAGAACUCCUAACUAUAUGGAGGAGAAAAACUUAGGCUAAAAGAUCUUUCUAAAAUUAACAUUUUAGUAAAAAAAGAAGGGAAAACUGGCGUCGUGGUGUCAUGGGGAAGCACCACGGUGUUAUAUGCGCGUGAGGGCUAAAUUUGUGUUGAAAUAUCAUAUUACUCCUCAAUAGGGUUUCUCCUCUUUUUCGCUUGGUUUUGACUUGGUUUAAUCAUUGUUACUCCAACACUCAUUUUUCUUAAAAUGUAUUGUAAAAUAACUAAUAAGCAUAUCAAAUCCAAUAAUCGAUAACCAUGAAUCAAAGGCAAAUAUGCACAUUUUAUGUAUGCAUCAGAGUCUAAACAGAAGGUUACCUACAAUGUCAGUUUAAAUUGACAUUAUAUGUAUACCUAUAAUGUCGUAUAAAAUUGAUAUUAAAGAUUCACUUUUUUUUUUUGUAAAGAAAAUCAAAAUUGUACAUAUGUUUUAGUUUUUUCGAACUAACAUCAAAGCCCAGUUUUCUUGUAGUAACAUUAUGCAAGAGUAUUAGACAUCGAUCCCCAUCCUUUUUUAUUUAUGUCUAUAACGACCCAACUCUUUAUACUAAGCUGAGGUCAUUAUCUUAAAGAUAAAUAUCAAUUUUGACAUUUUUUUAAAAAGAGGAAAACUAAAUUUUUAUUAAAAAUACUAUGAAAACAUAUUGCACAGAUAGUUCUACAAUUUUAAAGAUAAUAAAAAUAAAUAGAUAAAAAUGUUUAAGCUUAAAAACACUGAAAAUGAAGAAUGAAAAAUAGAAGCAGAAGUAUGUCCCCACAUAGCAUGUCACAGAUUCUUUCUGUCACUCACCAAUUUUCCUCUAUCUUUACCUUUGCCUAAAAUAUUAAGCAUAGAAAAGAAUGAGUAUAAACAUAUACUCAGUAAGUGACCCACUACUAAUCUCACUAGGUGUUUGUUAACUUUUCAUUAGGGUUCCAUAAUGUAAUACUCCAAAACUACCGUGCUCUCAAAUACAAGUGCUAUUCAGUGAUCUCAUAGGGACACACCUAAGAGAAACUGACCUAAAACGCCUAAGAGAAUCGAGUUGUAAGUGACCUUGUCGAAUCACUCAUAAAAACCACACAUGCAUAAAUAGGUGGUGGUCGUUAGAGACAUUCAUAUGGUUACGACCCUAACACACAAAGUUAAAAGAACACCACAGUCCAUAACAUGUAGCAUAUAUCAUAAACAUCAUAACAUGACAGAACAUCAAUCAUAACGUCCUUAUCAUGUGAUUAAUAUUUCAUGCAUCAUAAAUAUAUCAGUCAUAACAUAUCGGUCAUCCACAUCUGUCAUUCAUAACAGUAAUCCAUAACAGUCACAUUAUGCAUUUGACCUACAUCGAUGCAUAAUGGAAAACACAUGCAAACUCUUAAAUUCAUGUUCAAAGUUCUCGUACUAGAAUCUCUUAUCCGAAAUUAACUAAAAAUAAUCUUUUGCUGACAGUAAAAAUUAUCCAAUUAAUUCAAUCCUAAUUAUAAAAGAAAAUUUUAUUAUUAAUUAAAUUAACAAUUGACUUUCAUAACAAAAUUCUCCCAAAUUAACUUAUCCAAAAUUGAGGUUGAAACCAAAAUUUGUCAUUUAAAUCUUCGAGAUUCGACCAUCAAAAUCAAUUCUAAGAUGAAGAACUUUUUCUAUUUCUAUUUCUCUUCUCAAUUUAAGCAUUCCAAUGCUCUUUAUAAACUCAAAUAAUAAUAUUUAUCAUUAUUAUUUUCUUUUCCUUUUAGGAUAUAUAUAUAUAAUACCAAUAUAUCGAUAUAUUUUUAUUUUUUAAUAUCUUUUCCUCAAUAAAUUCCUUAAAUGCACAAAAUAUCAACAUUCAUAAGGAUUAAUAAUAAUAAUACUUCUUUAAUAAUAAUUCUUUAUUAUAUUAUUAUUAUUAUUAUUUUCUCACCAAAAUAUAUAACAAACAUAUAUACUUAUUUAAACCAUUACUAUCUCUCUUAAUUAAAUUCAUCAUCUUUCUCGUCUAAUCAAAUCAACCAUCUCUCUUCUCAUUAAUUAUCUUAUUUUUCAACAAUUAUAUUCUAUCAUAUAAUUGACUUUACUUUUCCAACUAAAUAAAAGGAGUUUAUGCAAAAAUAAUAAAAAAUUUAUGAUAAUAAAGCUCAUAUCACAAAAUUUUUUAAAUUUACAAAAAUAACAACUUUAAAAAUGAUGACCCUCUGAUAGCACUAAGAUUACCAUUUGAUAGUCAUCUGAUAUCACUAAUUUUGUCAUAUUCGCAAUAUGUAAAAAAUUGGCAUCAUGAGUUGUGUUUUUUUAAAAUGUUUUAUUCAUUUGGUGCAAUUUUUCUAAACCCACCUUCUCUUUUCUCAAUUAAAUCUUCUAUCAAAUCAACUUUUAUCUUUUCAAAAUAAUUAUUUUUUCCACAAAUCAAAUCUUCUCUCUCUUCUUUAAAUCUCACCAAAUUCCAUAAACUUUAUCCUCCCACAAAUAAUUUAUCUUGGAGGCGGAAUAAACAUAACUUCUCUUUAAUUUAUUAAUUUAAUACUUUACACAAGUUUCACACUUAACAGUUAGAUUCAUUUAUCUUAGAAGGCACAAAAUAAAAACCUAAGUUCUGAUCCACACAACUUCAUUCAUCCACAGGGUGCUACUAUUCGCAUCAUGGUUUUUAGGGGUGUAAGAACCCUAUUUUCAUCCUUCUCUUUGGUCGCCCAACAACCAUAUUUCAAGGAAAAUCUUUAGGAUUUCCUUUUCAUGGCUCAGUUCUUCCACUCAUCAUCUUUGGCCUCACAAAAUUGUGUUGCUGCCCUCAGCACCUCUUCAGAAUUGAGCUGUAGGCCUUGGUGUUCAGGAGUGAAGUUCUUACCUACUGAUUCCUUAAACGCAAAAUGGAAUGACAAGUCUUGCCUGCUGCAUAAGUUUGCAUAAUAACCCAUCUUUUCCAUCUUUACUUGGUUUCUACGCCUGAUAUUCUUUCUUUACUUGGCUUCAACGUCUGACAACCUGGAAGGGAAAACUUAAAAAAUAAGUUAAAGACUUAGUGUGUGGUGGUUUGAGUAAUACCUUUUUAGGGAAUACAACAGUUUCAAUAGUAUUGAUUUUACUCUCACGAACAUAAGUAUUUCGUCACAUCAACAAAAAAUUCUUAGUACAAUUUACAAACAUAGCGAUUGCAAAGAGUUCUACGUGUUUUAGUUCAUCAAACAUUCACCAUUCACCGCUAGGACCUAGGAUUCUUCCAUCCACAUCUAAUUUCCUAGACCUGGGAUUCACUUCACCAAUGUCACGCGUUAAACCUGAAAUUUCCACUAGCGUCUUGCAAUAGACUUAGGAUUUCUACCAAUGUCUCAUAACACUCAAUCUCAUCUUAAACCUGGGAUUCACUUUCACCAACGUCUCGUGAUUGGGAUUCACUUUCACCAACAUCUCACAUUUUAUUCCUUGCCUAGAUUUGGGAUUCACAUUCACCAAUAUUUAGCAUCAAUAACACAACUCAUUCUUGCUUAGACUUGAGAUUCACUUUCACCAGCAUUUACCUGCUUAGACCUGAGAUUCACUUACACUAGUGCCUCGCGUUAAACCUAAGAUUUCCACCAGAAUCUUACGAUAGAACAGUUAUUAUUACUCAUUACACAAACAACAUCAACAUCAAAUGAGAGACAUUAGUUGAUCAAGAUAUCACUUUUUACACAUGAUAUCGAUAUUAUACAACAAGCAUCAACGAAAGGAUUACAAGCUGUUCAUACAGACAUUCAUAAAUUGUUUUCUUCAUUUAUAAAGAUCAUAAUUUCAACUUUUAUGUGAUAAACAACAUGCAUUCAUUUAGAAAGAUCAUUCAUUCUUGAAAUCACAAACAAACAUUCAUUUAUAAGCAUCACUCAUUACAAUACUUAGCAUCAACCCUUUCUUCCUUUGGCUUUUGGUUUCUUCUUCUUGCUUAGUGGUUUCCCUUAAUCGGCUUUGCAAGACUUCAAAAUCUCCACUCAACAAUUAUGUAGAACGUUAAGCACUUUCUGCCCUUUUCUUUUGAUCAACCUUUGGUCCUAUUUAUAGCGAUUUUUCACAUCCAAGGGUCACUUCCAUGAUUUAAAUGUGUCACUUCAUUGUUUCAUCGUGCUAUGCAGACAACUCAAACUUGACACAUAGACCAAACAUCAGUUGAGAUUAGACAUUUUCCUUGAGAUGCUAACUUUAUCUGCUUGGAAAAGGUAAACUUCUUUAAAUCGUCUGACUCUACUUCUUAGAAAGCAACAAAAAAUUACUUUUUCCUCAGAGGGCUAUCUAGUCAUCUCAAUUGAACACCUACUUUAUCGUCGCACUCUUAGGUGUAGGUACUUUUUUUCACAUUGCUACCUCAAUCGCCUAGUUCUUAACGUUAAACACAAGCUUCUUCUUCGUCAAUAAUCUCAACGUGUUACCCAUUUUAACGUGGUAGCUCUUAUACUCAAAUACAUCUCUUCGCCCACCCAUUUUUCCAAUUGCAUCAUUUUUUAUUGAAUGUCUCUUUAUAUACUUAGUCAAAAUAGUUUAUCCCAAAGGAGCUCAUUUUCAACGAGAGCUUUUGGAUCAAGGUCUCUCAAAUUUCUAUUUUCUUUUUUGUAAAAGCAUGUUUAGCUUUUAGGUUAUAGAAAAUUAGUUUAUGUAUUUCUUUUCCAACGUGUUGUUCUCAAUUAAACUAAGCUAACGUUUCUAUUUAAAUAAUUAUUCGGUUGUUAAGGCUUUUAUCCUUUCAAUUACCAUAGCAUCACCAAACAUAAUCUAAUGACAAUAUAUAAAUGUCAAUUUAUGUACUUAAAUGAUGCAUUGAUAAUAUCAACAUUAGGAAUAUAUUGACACUUACAGUGUUAAAAUUAUCACUUUGGCAUGACAUAUUUAUUGUGACAAGUGAAGUGUUUACUUAACAGAAAAAGUCAACAUUUCGAAUGUAGGUUGACAAAAAAAAUUUGUCACAGAAAACAAUAUCAUGGUAUAAAAUUAAGUACCAUUGAAUAAUUAAUGUUAAUUGAAAUGUUGUGUCAUCAAAUAUCUAUCUAUGACACUUUUCCUCACCAAUCAUCUAUAGAAUUACCUUGAUGAUGGAUUACCAAACUAAAGAAAGAGUCACAAGUACUUGUAAUGACAUAUUUUUAGAGUCAUGGAAACGUUUUUGCAGUAGUGGGGACUGGAGUCGGUGGUGAAUCUAGAAAAUCUAUUGACUAGGGACUUUAUAGUUUAGUCAAAAUAAUUCCAUAUUUUAAGACCGAUACAUAAUAACUUCAUUAUUUAUCUUAUGAAAUAAAUAUAUCUCAAUAUAGGUUACAAGACAAUCAUUCAUCCAUUAGCUUCCACUCGAUUGCACAAC
rnacentral:lncRNA from 1 species